GAUGAACGCUGGCGGCGUGCCUAAUACAUGCAAGUCGAGCGAACAGACGAGGAGCUUGCUCCUCUGACGUUAGCGGCGGACGGGUGAGUAACACGUGGAUAACCUACCUAUAAGACUGGGAUAACUUCGGGAAACCGGAGCUAAUACCGGAGAAUAUAUUGAAGCGCAUGGUUCAAUAGUGAAAGACGGCUUUUGUGUCACUUCUAGAUGGAUCUGAGCCGCAUUAGCUUGUUGGUAAGGUAACAGCUUACCAAGGCAACGAUGCGUAUCCGAGCGGAGAGGGUGAUCGGCCACACUGGAGCUGAGCCACGGUCCAGACUCCUACGGGAGGCAGCAGUAGGGAAUCUUACGCAAUGGGCGAAAGCUUGACGGAGCAACGCCGCGUGAGUGAUGAAGGUCUUCGGAUCGUAAAACUCUGUUAUUAGGGAAGAACAAAUGUGUAAGUAACUAUGCACGUCUUGACGGUACCUAAUCAGAAAGCCACGGCUAACUACGUG
rnacentral:rRNA from 1 species